AACGAUGGCUAAUACCCUAUAGUCCUAACGGUAUUGGAAGCCGAUAGGUAAAACUCCGGUGCUUUGGGAGGGGUCUGCGUCCGAUUAGCUUGUUGGUGGGGUAAUGGCCUACCAAGGCUGCAAUCGGUAGCUGGUCUGAGAGGAUGAUCAGUCACACGGGAACUGAGACACGGUCCCGACUCCUACGGGGGGCAGCAGUGAGGAAUAUUGCACAAUGGGGGAAACCCUGAUGCAGCAACGCCGCGUGGAGGAUGAAGGCUUUUUGUCGUAAACUCCUUUUCCGAGGGAAGAGUAAGGACGGUACCUCGGGAAUAAGUCACGGCUAACUACGUGCCAGCAGCCGCGGUAAUACGUAGGUGGCGAGCGUUAUCCGGAUUUAUUGGGCGUAAAGCGCACGCAGGCGGCAAAUUAAGUCUGAUGUGAAAUCUCCCGGCUCAACUGGGAGAGGUCGUUGGAAACUGAAUUGCUUGAGGCAAUGAGAGGGGUGUAGAAUUCCUGGUGUAGUGGUGGAAUGCGUAGAUAUCAGGAGGAAUACCAGUGGCGAAAGCGACACCCUGUCAUUGACCUGA
rnacentral:rRNA from 1 species